rnacentral:rRNA from 1 species
GGGUUGUGAGGUUAAGCGACUAAGCGUACACGGUGGAUGCCCUGGCAGUCAGAGGCGAUGAAGGACGUGCUAAUCUGCGAUAAGCGUCGGUAAGGUGAUAUGAACCGUUAUAACCGGCGAUUUCCGAAUGGGGAAACCCAGUGUGUUUCGACACACUAUCAUUAACUGAAUCCAUAGGUUAAUGAGGCGAACCGGGGGAACUGAAACAUCUAAGUACCCCGAGGAAAAGAAAUCAACCGAGAUUCCCCCAGUAGCGGCGAGCGAACGGGGAGCAGCCCAGAGCCUGAAUCAGUGUGUGUGUUAGUGGAAGCGUCUGGAAAGGCGUGCGAUACAGGGUGACAGCCCCGUACACAAAAAUGCACAUAUUGUGAGCUCGAUGAGUAGGGCGGGACACGUGGUAUCCUGUCUGAAUAUGGGGGGACCAUCCUCCAAGGCUAAAUACUCCUGACUGACCGAUAGUGAACCAGUACCGUGAGGGAAAGGCGAAAAGAACCCCGGCGAGGGGAGUGAAAAAGAACCUGAAACCGUGUACGUACAAGCAGUGGGAGCACGCUUAGGCGUGUGACUGCGUACCUUUUGUAUAAUGGGUCAGCGACUUAUAUUCUGUAGCAAGGUUAACCGAAUAGGGGAGCCGAAGGGAAACCGAGUCUUAACUGGGCGUUAAGUUGCAGGGUAUAGACCCGAAACCCGGUGAUCUAGCCAUGGGCAGGUUGAAGGUUGGGUAACACUAACUGGAGGACCGAACCGACUAAUGUUGAAAAAUUAGCGGAUGACUUGUGGCUGGGGGUGAAAGGCCAAUCAAACCGGGAGAUAGCUGGUUCUCCCCGAAAGCUAUUUAGGUAGCGCCUCGUGAAUUCAUCUCCGGGGGUAGAGCACUGUUUCGGCAAGGGGGUCAUCCCGACUUACCAACCCGAUGCAAACUGCGAAUACCGGAGAAUGUUAUCACGGGAGACACACGGCGGGUGCUAACGUCCGUCGUGAAGAGGGAAACAACCCAGACCGCCAGCUAAGGUCCCAAAGUCAUGGUUAAGUGGGAAACGAUGUGGGAAGGCCCAGACAGCCAGGAUGUUGGCUUAGAAGCAGCCAUCAUUUAAAGAAAGCGUAAUAGCUCACUGGUCGAGUCGGCCUGCGCGGAAGAUGUAACGGGGCUAAACCAUGCACCGAAGCUGCGGCAGCGACGCUUAUGCGUUGUUGGGUAGGGGAGCGUUCUGUAAGCCUGCGAAGGUGUGCUGUGAGGCAUGCUGGAGGUAUCAGAAGUGCGAAUGCUGACAUAAGUAACGAUAAAGCGGGUGAAAAGCCCGCUCGCCGGAAGACCAAGGGUUCCUGUCCAACGUUAAUCGGGGCAGGGUGAGUCGACCCCUAAGGCGAGGCCGAAAGGCGUAGUCGAUGGGAAACAGGUUAAUAUUCCUGUACUUGGUGUUACUGCGAAGGGGGGACGGAGAAGGCUAUGUUGGCCGGGCGACGGUUGUCCCGGUUUAAGCGUGUAGGCUGGUUUUCCAGGCAAAUCCGGAAAAUCAAGGCUGAGGCGUGAUGACGAGGCACUACGGUGCUGAAGCAACAAAUGCCCUGCUUCCAGGAAAAGCCUCUAAGCAUCAGGUAACAUCAAAUCGUACCCCAAACCGACACAGGUGGUCAGGUAGAGAAUACCAAGGCGCUUGAGAGAACUCGGGUGAAGGAACUAGGCAAAAUGGUGCCGUAACUUCGGGAGAAGGCACGCUGAUAUGUAGGUGAAGUCCCUCGCGGAUGGAGCUGAAAUCAGUCGAAGAUACCAGCUGGCUGCAACUGUUUAUUAAAAACACAGCACUGUGCAAACACGAAAGUGGACGUAUACGGUGUGACGCCUGCCCGGUGCCGGAAGGUUAAUUGAUGGGGUCAGCGCAAGCGAAGCUCUUGAUCGAAGCCCCGGUAAACGGCGGCCGUAACUAUAACGGUCCUAAGGUAGCGAAAUUCCUUGUCGGGUAAGUUCCGACCUGCACGAAUGGCGUAAUGAUGGCCAGGCUGUCUCCACCCGAGACUCAGUGAAAUUGAACUCGCUGUGAAGAUGCAGUGUACCCGCGGCAAGACGGAAAGACCCCGUGAACCUUUACUAUAGCUUGACACUGAACAUUGAGCCUUGAUGUGUAGGAUAGGUGGGAGGCUUUGAAGUGUGGACGCCAGUCUGCAUGGAGCCGACCUUGAAAUACCACCCUUUAAUGUUUGAUGUUCUAACGUUGACCCGUAAUCCGGGUUGCGGACAGUGUCUGGUGGGUAGUUUGACUGGGGCGGUCUCCUCCUAAAGAGUAACGGAGGAGCACGAAGGUUGGCUAAUCCUGGUCGGACAUCAGGAGGUUAGUGCAAUGGCAUAAGCCAGCUUGACUGCGAGCGUGACGGCGCGAGCAGGUGCGAAAGCAGGUCAUAGUGAUCCGGUGGUUCUGAAUGGAAGGGCCAUCGCUCAACGGAUAAAAGGUACUCCGGGGAUAACAGGCUGAUACCGCCCAAGAGUUCAUAUCGACGGCGGUGUUUGGCACCUCGAUGUCGGCUCAUCACAUCCUGGGGCUGAAGUAGGUCCCAAGGGUAUGGCUGUUCGCCAUUUAAAGUGGUACGCGAGCUGGGUUUAGAACGUCGUGAGACAGUUCGGUCCCUAUCUGCCGUGGGCGCUGGAGAACUGAGGGGGGCUGCUCCUAGUACGAGAGGACCGGAGUGGACGCAUCACUGGUGUUCGGGUUGUCAUGCCAAUGGCACUGCCCGGUAGCUAAAUGCGGAAGAGAUAAGUGCUGAAAGCAUCUAAGCACGAAACUUGCCCCGAGAUGAGUUCUCCCUGACUCCUUGAGAGUCCUGAAGGAACGUUGAAGACGACGACGUUGAUAGGCCGGGUGUGUAAGCGCAGCGAUGCGUUGAGCUAACCGGUACUAAUGAACCGUGAGGCUUAACCUUACAACGCCGAAG